ACGCUGCGGAGCCGGAAGGUACGAAAUUUCAAAUGUCACACGGCAUUAGAAGAAUUCGGUACGAUGGCGUCAUCGGAUUUCUCUCUUAAAUAAGAUCGGUUUACAAGCAUCGACCAGUUUGUCCUUCCAAAGCGCUUACAUAAGUAUCCUUCUUGUUAACGGAAAGGCGUCGGUUAUACUCGUGCGAGUUGAAUUAUCGUCGUUACUACGAGAAAUGUCGCGGUAAGUGGUGGAUCGAGCGCCCCGCCAGUUUAUCGUUUCUUUUCGAUCGAACGAGUAACGACGACGACGGAUACGCCCGAUUAAUCUCUCUUUCUCGCAAAGUCGUUUGGUCUACUCGUUUAAAAGGUAGGUAUAUAACAUCGAUGGGAUGGUUAAGGACGAGCGAGAGCGAGAGCGAGAGAGAGAGAGAGAGAGAGAGAGAGAGAGAGAGAGAGAGAGAGGAGCAAAGUUUGACGCAUCUUCAUAAAUUUCCAUUUAGCGGGCAAUCGACUCGUAUUCGACAAAACGGUGAAACACGGAUGAAAGAUUAUCGUGCCAGCAGUAACGGCUUUACGAUCGGCUCGGCCGAAUGACGAAUACGCCCGAUUAAUCUCAACGCGUUCCUCGCACUAAUUUGUCCCGCAUGAUAAUAAUCAGCCAUUUUUCGUUCGAUUUAACGGAACGAUUAAUUUGUUAAUUUCAACUGUAGAUCCGAGAUCUGAAAAAUAAUUGAAAAUAACCAUAAAGGCGCGUGACAUCAAGAAGGAAAACGUCAGGGAAGUGAAUUUCUUCGAGGUGAAAAUUGUACAAAAGAUUCGGCCGUGAUAGCUGGAAGCGGAUCAACGCCGAAUAAGAGCCAAUGCGAAAAUGAUAUACACGCGAUGCACGGUACCGUGUGGAGCGGCUAUCGUGCUCCCGUGAAACCAAAAGUCGACGCCAUUAAUAAUUCAUCGGUCGGACCCGUGUGUGUUUCGAGACGCGCCGUAUAUACCUAUAUACGUAGCGUAUCGAGGAACGUUUGAUAUAUCGUCAACAUUGCGAUAUAUUGGAAAAAAACGCGACCGAUAACGGAAGAAAUCGAGGGAAAGAAGUAAAAAAGCAACAUGAAACUUUGAUUUCAAAAUGACGGAUGGAAAAAAAAAAUAUAAAAAAUUUCUCAUUUCUUCGUUCUACGACGGAGAUGCCGCGAAUUAACGAAAUUCGAUCAAAGGUCCCUUUCGAUGCCUAUCGUCUUCUUCUGAAAAACGCCAGGUUCUAUCUAUUAAACGCUCGGUACUAUAAAUCAAGCGGGCGAAACGAAACGGAUCGUACAUCAUCCCGAUACCACGGCGGAUCACUCGGCGAACGUCGUUCUCGGAAAGAAGAAGAAGAAGAAGAAGAAGAAGAAGAAGAAGAAGAAGAAGAAGGGAAGGAGGAGGAAGAGGAGGAGAAGAAGAAGAUGAGGAAGAAGAAAUGUAUAAAAGAGCCAAAAGAACGGCUACGAUAACUGCCGGCGUUGUAGGAGAACGAUCGGGAAGGACUACCAAUAGGCGAUACCAAAGUAUGCGUUGGUCUUCGACGAGUCGUUUAAUUAGCCUGUGACAGUAUGUUUGUUUCGUGGAGAUGACAGCAAGAGAGAUGGAAAAGAACGAGCUCGGAUUAGUGAUUGAUGAAGAAAGUGAUUAAAAAGGGCAGACUCUCUUUAAUGACGAGAACAUCCUGUAGAACGAGAACGAAUUCCUGGUAAUCAUCCGGCUGUUGGCCCUUCAUACAUCACCGUCCGCCCGUCGAAAUACACCGGGCAACACCGAUAUUACACCUUUUUCAAUCGAUCCUUUAUAAUCUCUUAGAAUUUACUCGAUACCUCGGGAAUAGAUAGAUUAAGAAGAUUUGCCAUACGGAACGAAAAUGCAAAGGAAAAGAAGAAGAAGGAAAAAAAGGAAGAGAUUGGUCGAGGUUUUAAUGGACUUUUACCGUUGGCCAUUAACUAUAGUUACUAACUAAAUAAUUGAACGUUCAAAGGAAAUGGUCAUUCCGUGACAACGAUAAAACGAAGGACUCUGCGAAAGAUUCGAUCUUGGAGGAUCGAAUUCGAUCUACGAAUUCUUCCUUCUUCCGAAUUCCUUUUCGGACCUCUUCGAGGGAAGAAGGAGGAAAGAUCGUCGCGAGCGAUAGCGAGCAUAAAAGUAUGGCUUCAUUCACGAAACCGGCUGCCAGGAGAAAAGGACGCUACAAAAAAAGAAGAAUACUACUACUCGAGGAGACUCGGGCGGAUAAGGAGCCACUCUAUUCGCAGAUAAGGGGGUGAAUAACCGUGGAUAAAAAUACUGGCGCGGCCAAUACGGUGGAGAGAUAAAUAGCGAGGAAAGACAGGGUGUGUGUGUGUGUGUGUGUGAGAGAGAGAGAAAGAGUGCGUGUAGUUGGACGACGCGGUUGCUUGCCAUCCGAUCGGAAUGCGCUUCGCGUACUCGCUUUGCCUUCUUGCCUGCCUGCCUGCCUGCCUGCCUGCCUGCCUGCCUGCUUGUCUGCUUGCCUGCCUCAAGCUGGGUCCAAGUGUCUGUAGGACGGAAUAAAUGACCCAGAGAUAAAAUGGCCUCCCCUCUGGGCCUAAUUAAGAGCAAACUUUUCAUCCGCGAAAAUUUCUUCGCAACGACGCACGUCGUGCGCGGAUGAUGAAACACUCGUGGGAGCCGAUUUGGUUAUGUAGGUUGAAACAGGUACAUAAAGAGCACCUGGGAUACGUAUAAAACGUCGUCGAGAACGUGCUUUGCGAUUUUCCCGUGUAGGAAAAAAAGAAAAAAGAAAAAAGAAAAAAAAAAAAAUAAACAGCCUUCGCAAAGAAGGAUCCGAUUAUUUGGCUCGUUCGCGCUUUAUUAUCGUCGAACCGAGGAAUGAAAUUAAUUAAUGAGAGGAAUCGAAGAGCUGAAAAUACGUAAAAUUUUGUAAAAGACGACAGGAAUGGAGAAUGUUAAUUAAGACAAGCCACAGCAAUCAAAAAACGAUCUUUAUUCGUUCGUCGUUGUUAAUCGUGUUAGUAAAAAGCACGUUUUGCAAAGUCUUGCAAAAACAACACACAAACGCGGUCAGAACUGGCGAAAGUGCAGGAAGACGACGAAGAUGCACACGGCGUACCGUCACAGUGUUUACAGCGCUUCGCCCUCGGCUCAGGCAUUCUGCGGUGACCUCGUGACCUCACCGAUAUUCCAUCGUCGUUUUCUGCACUUCGCGCGCGAGCGCACCACACUUUCAGCACACACGGACACCCGAUGCACGCACGUAGCUCGCAGCACUCGGCUUCGAUUCGCUCGUGCAAUAACACUCCUCCUCCUCCUCCUCCUCCUCCUCUUCUGCUCCUCCUUCUAAUCCUCUCGAUGCUCGAUGCCACUCUUUCUCUUAGGGGCGAUCGAUUCGAGAACGAAUUUCUUCUUCUCUAUCUCCUACGAGAAUCGCGACUGGUCUCACCAAAUGGCACAUUGAUUUCCUUCAAUGUUAUACCCAAUGUCGAGACGAUCGACGGUAUUACGUUUAAAAUUAUUCAUAUAGCGCGCGACACUUUCGUUCUUAAACGUCACGCGUUUGAAAAGAAACGCGUUCGAUUUGUCAUCGUUUACGCACGGCCUCGACACGGAUAACGCGCGGCCCGCAGCACUGUUCUAUCGAGGAAAAUUCAAGGAAACGACAAAGAGAGGCUUGAAAAAAUAUUCGCGAUAUAAUCCUUAAAAAUAAAUAAAAUAUAUUAAUGGUCCUCGAUCCGCGAGCAUUUAUUUACAAAGAUUUAUUUUCAUCCUUUUUUCACGGCCCUGUCUCUCCUCUCCUCGUACAUUUUUUCUUUCUUUUCUUUCUCUAUUUUCAAUGUAUUUUUCAAUGAUUAGGGAAUGCAGUCUUCUCUUGCUCUGGGAAUGAUAACGUCGUGAUUCGUUCGGAGCUCCGGGAUUAAAGGAAAAUCGAGCCUUUGGGCGAGCCUUUUAAUUCGCCAUCCUGUCUCGCGGAGAUCGCCCUCGCAUCGUCCGUUACAUUUUCUUUCGGCGAAUCCUCGCUCGAUCUCUUCGAAAGGAUAAACGCUUGACGUCUCGAAAAAACGAUCGGGAACGAGUUUCGUAUCUCUUCCUCUCGAACGCUCCGUACAUGGAUUCAUGAAUCGUUCGGUAUCCUCGUUACCAACGCCAUAACUCAAAGAGUCUCUGAACACUUUUCGAUCGAAGAAAUCAUAAGUAGUAGACUGAGUUUGCAAAGAACGAUGUUCGCGAUUACGUCACGUCGCGAACUACUACCCCUUAGGUAAGCGUCUCUCUCGUUCUUCGCGGCUAAUCUUUUUCUGCUUCUUCUUGCCCUUCCUCCUCCUCCUCCUCCUCCUCCUCCUCCUCCUCCUCCUCCUCUUCCUCCUCCUUCUUCUCUUCUUCUUCUUUUUUCACCGUCGAGGACGUUUCGUUCGUGAAUCUCACGCGAAUAACGGCCACUGAGUUCUCGUCCUAUCCUCUCGAAGGAGGAAGUAUCCGUGGCUCGCGUGGUCGUCGUCGAUCGUUGUCGUAACGACGAUCGGUCUUUUUCGGAUAGGUUAGAAAGAGAGCAAUUGAGAGAGAGAGAGAGAGAAAGAGAGAAAACAGAUAGGUGAAUUAAGGGAGAGAGUAAGCUUGUAAACGAGUAAGAAAUAGAGGGAAAGGUAGAGAGAGAGAGAGAGAGAGAGAGAGAGAAACGUGGGAGGAUGCAAAGGGCUCGCAAGACAGUUAUUGCCAAUCGUUCGAAAACGGUUGCGGGUGCGUUCACAUCGCGAGGUGGAGGGCGUCUAGGUCGCCGUAGCGCCUCGCAGCCAUGUCACACGCGCACUGACGGACCCUCGACGCCGGGACGCCGUCUUCGGUCGGACUCGGUCCACCCUCUCGGUAAGCGUCGGGACGCCUGGCACGUAGCCAAUCUAAAACUCCGAGAUCGUUCCAUCCUUU